rnacentral:rRNA from 1 species
AGGGAAGCAAGACCGCGAGGUGGAGCAAAUCCCUAAAAGCCAUCCCAGUUCGGAUUGCAGGCUGCAACCCGCCUGUAUGAAGUUGGAAUCGCUAGUAAUCGCGGAUCAGCAUGCCGCGGUGAAUACGUUCCCGGGCCUUGUACACACCGCCCGUCACACCAUGAGAGUCGGGAACACCCGAAGUCCGUAGCCUAACCGCAAGGGGGGCGCGGCCGAAGGUGGGUUCGAUAAUUGGGGUGAAGUCGUAACAAGGUAAC